AACGAACGCUGGCGGCAUGCCUAACGCAUGCAAGUCGAACGAGACCUUCGGGUCUAGUGGCGCACGGGUGCGUAACGCGUGGGAACCUGCCCUCAGGUUCGGAAUAACUCCCCGAAAGGGGUGCUAAUACCGGAUAAUGUCUUCGGACCAAAGAUUUAUUGCCUUUGGAUGGGCCCGCGUUGGAUUAGCUAGUUGGUAGGGUAAAAGCCUACCAAGGCGACGAUCCAUAGCUGGUCUGAGAGGAUGAUCAGCCACACUGGGACUGAGACACGGCCCAGACUCCUACGGGAGGCAGCAGUGGGGAAUAUUGGACAAUGGGCGAAAGCCUGAUCCAGCAAGGCCGCGUGAGUGAUGAAGGCCUUAGGGUUGUAAAGCUCUUUUACCCGUGAUGAUAAUGACAGUACCGGGAGAAUAAGCCCCGGCUAACUCCGUG
rnacentral:rRNA from 1 species